rnacentral:rRNA from 1 species
UACAGAGGUGGCAAGCGUUGUUCGGAAUUACUGGGCGUAAAGGGCGCGUAGGCGGUCCGAUAAGUCCCGUGUGAAAGCCCCCGGCUCAACUGGGGAACUGCACGGGAAACUGACGGACUUGAGUUCGGGAGAGGGAAGCGGAAUUCCGGGUGUAGCGGUGAAAUGCGUAGAUAUGACACAGAACACCGAUUGCGAAGGCAGCUCACUAAGCUGUAACUGACACUGAGGCACGAAAGUGUGGGUAGCAAACAGG